UACGGGGGGAGCAAGCGUUGUUCGGAUUUACUGGGCGUAAAGGGCGCGUAGGCGGUCACGACAAGUCAGUUGUGAAAUCUCCGGGCUUAACUCGGAACGGUCAACUGAUACUGUCGGACUAGAGUGCAGAAGGGGCAACUGGAAUUCCAGGUGUAGCGGUGAAAUGCGUAGAUAUCUGGAGGAACACCGGUGGCGAAGGCGGCAUCCUGGACCGGCAUUGACGCUGAGGCGCGAAAGCUAGGGGAGCAAACGGG
rnacentral:rRNA from 1 species